rnacentral:rRNA from 1 species
GACAGAGGAUGCAAGCGUUAUCCGGAAUGAUUGGGCGUAAAGCGUCUGUAGGUGGCUUUUUAAGUCCGCCGUCAAAUCCCAGGGCUCAACCCUGGAAUGCCGGUGGAAACUGUCAAGCUUGAGUCCGGAAGAGGCGAGUGGAAUUCCUGGUGUAGCGGUGAAAUGCGCAGAUAUCAGGAGGAACACCAAUGGCGAAGGCAGCUCGCUGGGACGGUACUGACGCUGAGACGCGAAAGCGUGGGGAGCGAACGGG